AAAGACAAGGAUUAGAUACCCUUUUAUUUUAGAUGUUAAUAUUAACCAGGGUAGUAAUAGUUAUGUUCUUGAAACCCAAAGAAUUUGGCGGUAUUUUAUUCUUUUUAGAGGAACCUGUUCUGUAAUCGAUAAUCCCACGAGGAUCAUUUACUUAUUUUUGUUUUUCAGUUUGUAUACCUCCGUCAUAAGAGUAUCUUUUUAGAGUGAAUAUUCUAUUACUAUGAAAUAUAAAAUGUCAGGUCAAGGUGCAACUUAUGAAUAAGAAGAGAUGGGUUACAAUAAAUUUAUUUAUAUGGAUUAUAAUUUUUAUUUUUAUAUGAAGGUGGAUUUAAAAGUAAAAUUAAUUUCUUAUUAAUUUGAUUUUAGCUCUAAAAUAUGCACACAUCGCCCGUCGCUCUUAUUUUAAAAUAAGAUAAGUCGGUAACAUAGUAGGAGUAUCGGAAGAUGUUCCUA
rnacentral:rRNA from 1 species